rnacentral:rRNA from 1 species
UACGGAGGGUGCGAGUGUUGUCCGGAAUCACUGGGCGUAAAGGGCGCGUAGGCGGCGCGGAUAGUCGGCGGUGAAAGCCCGGAGCUCAACUCCGGGUCGGCCGUCGAUACUUCCGGGCUUGAGCACUGUAGAGGCAGAUGGAAUUCCGGGUGUAGCGGUGGAAUGCGUAGAGAUCCGGAAGAACACCGGUGGCGAAGGCGGUCUGCUGGGCAGUUGCUGACGCUGAUGCGCGACAGCGGUGGGGAGCAAACGAGG